rnacentral:misc_RNA from 1 species
GAUGAAGAACGUAGCGAAAUGCGAUAAGUAAUGUGAAUUGCAGAAUUCAGUGAAUCAUCGAAUCUUUGAACGCACAUUGCGCCCAUCAGUAUUCUGUUGGGCAUGCCUGUCCGAGCGUCAUUUCAACCCUCAGGGCCCGUUCGCGGGAACUGGUGUUGGGGAUCGGCCUCCCCCCGGAGGCCGGCCCCGAAAUGCAGUGGCGGCUCUACCGCGAUCUCCUCUGUGUAGUAGCGAUACCUCGCAGCUGGAUAGUGGUGGUGCCACGCCGUAAAAUCCCAACUUUACCGAGGUUGACCUCGGAUCAGGUAGGAAUACCCGCUGAACUUAAGCAUAUCAAUAAGCGGAGGA